ensembl:snRNA U5 U5 spliceosomal RNA
AUAUUCUGGCUUGUUUUCAGGUCACAUAAAUUUUUCACCUUUUACUCAAGAUUCCUGUGGAGAGGAAAGACUCUGACUUUUUAGCUAAUUUUUUGAGGUCUUCCUUUGGCAGGGCU